UAAAUAGUUGUAUUAAAAAUUUCCAUGAAAUGAUUCUUCCAAAUGGUAUUUUAUUGUAUGGACUAGUCAUUGAUCAUUGAAACCAUGCAUCCAUCCAUUCAUCUCCAAACCAAAAUAGAACUGUAUUAAGUGAUACAGAUCUUGUAAGUAGAUUUCCGUGUAAAAAGGAGAUCCAAGAUAAAUUUAAUUUACUUAAGUGUCUUUAUGUAUAUAAAGGAAUUUAUGUGAUCUAAAUACGUAAUAAAUUGCAUAUUUUUAUUAAUUACCAAUUUGUUUGAAAUCAUGGGUCCCGAAGGGUUUUCCGGGUUUUAUACUUAUGCGUCCUCUAGUAACGGCUAUUAGCCUUAUCCUUAUCAGAAUAACAUUUCGGCUCCAAAAUGUGGUUUACAAAUUUUACCCACCACCACCCCUUCAAUCCUCCAUAAUUAUUGUUAUUGUAGAAAAUACAUGUACUAGUUUCUUUUAUAUAAGGUGCCUAUUGUUAUUGCAUGACUUUUGUACUUAUUGUUAAUUUUGUAGAAAAUAUAUGUACUAGUUUUCUUUUGUAUAAGGUGUGGGAUGUUUUUGGGCCCCACCUUCUGCUGCAUUCUGAUAUUGUAAAAUCUGUAAUCUCAUUUGGCAUUUGUAAUAAAUGCUCUAUACACACACA